AAACUACACUUUGCUUACAUGUCACCUCACAAAUGUCCCUUUUCUAACUUAUUUUCUUUAAGCAUUCACCAUGUGGCUCUCUCUUUUCUUUUUCUCCUUUUUUUCAUCUAUUUACUAAAUAUUUACAUAUAUUCAUUCUUAUAUUUAUUAUGUAACUUGCCAAUUGAGCUUUGUAGUAACUGUCAAUUUCCUCAUGUAUUUGUCUUAAUUCUCCACUUAAGUUGAACAUAAAUCAACAUUUACUACCUUUUUCUUUGGAAAGUUACUCAUUAACGGUUUUGUUAUGAAAAUUGUAAAGAUCACUUUUUAUUCUUAUUCAUUCAUGACUUUUCAUUUGCAUAUUUGGUUUUAAUAAGUGUAUCCUUUUAAAACUCUUAGCCUUUCAAUUCAAUAAUAAUAAUAAUAAUUAAAAACUGUUACGUUAAUUAUUAAUUAUAUUAUAUAUAGGUCUUAUAUAUGUACAACCCCUUGGUGCACAUGUGAGUUUGAGAUUUCAAUCUGAGUGGAUUCUAUCUAUUGCACAUGAAGAAGUCUUACCAUUCUUUGUCACGAUAGGUAAGCAAGCACAAAUAAAGUCCUUCAUAUUGUCAGAUUUCUGUUUCUUGGGUUUUGGAAAAAGGAGAGUUUGAUUGAAACAACAUUUCUUAUGUGAAAAGGAUUGAAAGAAAUAUGAAUGAGAUUGGAGUUGAAGACAAUGGUACUGAUUUAGAGAAUGUUCAAAAUGUCGAUGUUCAUUAUUGGAAGUAUAAUGUUACUACUUCUAUUUUGGAUGGAAACAAUGUUUUGGUUAGUGGCAUUUACGAAGCAUUUUUUGUUCUUUUCAUGUUGUUAAGUUGUUGUUGAUUAAUUAUAAUUUGUAUGAUUUCUUGACAAAUCUAUUGUAGCAUUUUCCUCGACGUGUAGCUGAGAAUGGUUUGUAUAUCAAUCAAUCUAAAAUUCUCCUUUUUGAUGAAGAAACCGAUAAAUCUUAUGACUGUGAUGUUCACACUACGUCAAAAAGCAUGCAUCAGAAAUACAUAGGGAGAGGAUGGUACGACUUUGUUCUUGAAAAGGGCCUAAAAGUUGGUGACGUUAUUUUGUUGACAGUCAAUAAUCCUCCUAAUAGGAUGUAUGCUGCCGUCGUUAACUGGGAGUGAUUCUAUAACCGAAUGUUGUGGCUCAAGGUUGUUUCUAUGAUUGUCUAUUUUUAAUGUAAUAUUCAAAUUGAGGAAGGU